rnacentral:misc_RNA from 1 species
GAUGAAGAACGCAGCGAAAUGCGAUAACUAAUGUGAAUUGCAGAAUUCAGUGAAUCAUCGAGUCUUUGAACGCACAUUGCGCCCCCUGGUAUUCCGGGGGCAUGCCUGUCCGAGCGUCAUUGCUGCCCUCAAGCACGGCUUGUGUGUUGGGCUCCGUCCCCCCGGGGACGGGUCCGAAAGGCAGCGGCGGCACCGAGUCCGGUCCUCGAGCGUAUGGGGCUUUGUCACCCGCUCUGUAGGCCCGGCCGGCGCCAGCCGACAACCAAUCAUCCUUUUUUCAGGUUGACCUCGGAUCAGGUAGGGAUACCCGCUGAACUUAAGCAUAUCAAUAAGCGGAGGA